CGCGUUACGUCCCUUAGCUUACUCUUCACGCCGCUUUUCUCGUCGUGUCUUCAUCACUUGUGAUGGGAAGCCAACCGUGGAGCUUCCAAAAGAAUUUCAAUCCCACAACGUGACACCUACUUUCCACAACCCAUGGAUAUCGAGCCAGGAAAAGAUCCCAAACUGGCCGUCCACUAAAGCGCCUCACUUUAUCAGCAACUCAGAGUGUCCAAGAUGGUGGUGGGGUGAGAGAGAGAGAGGGGGGGUGCACCAUCUGCUACUUCUUCCCAAUUUUCCUGACAGCCAGCUCAGACUUUUGCUUGAAAAACAGAGACUAGACUAUCCACGGAGGCUACAAUGCUAUUCGGCUUCCUGGAGGAACCCUGAAAAUCAGAAGAACCUCAACGGGAUGUGCCCUCUGAGCCACAUCACAUGAUCCCGGCAGACUGAAAACUAUGCUGACGCCGUGCCAAGGGUUCGAGCGGUGACAUGAAAAGUUCAAGCGCAUGAAAAGAGCAGCUGUACGAGUCUUAUGAAGGCACAACUCUAUUAUUCAUCAUUUGGCUGAGAGAAGCUUCAGAUAUCAGGAAGCUAGCACAUCUCGGGGAAUUGUUCACAUAUGCCACACGUGUAUAGAGUCUUUGUUUGUGCUCAGCUAAUACGGGUGAGAAGAGACUUUAAUCCCGACAUACCACGGAGGUUUGGUACAAGAUCUUCGUCUGACUCCCGGAAGACUACAAAGGAGACGACAUCGGAAUGAGGUGGGAUCAGCGGGGAGCGAGUGCGGAUCAGAGAACGAGUCGCUUCUUUGAGAUGCACGUUACUGCUGCCAUGUGGCUCGGCGGCACAAGAUGGAACAUUUUGCUGAAGGGAAUUCGGAAUGGAUUAAAUUACCAGGGCUGAAGCUAAGUACAGGAGUCCAAGUCGAGUCAAGGUCCUAGUCCAAGUCUAGUUGGAGUCCCCAAAGUUCAGAGUCUGAGUCAAGUCCAAAUCACAAAGGUCCGAGUCCAAGUCAGUGUACACAAAGGUUUGAGUCCAAGCCAAGUUAGAGUCUCAAAGGUGUGAAUCCAGGUCAAGUCCAAUUCCAAAUUAAGUCAGAGUUCACAAAGGUCCGACUCUUAGUGAAGUCUGAAUCACAAAAGUCAGAGUCCAAGUCAAGUCAGUGUCCGCAAAGGUUUGAGUCCAAGUCAAGUCCGAGUCUCAAAGGUGUGAAUCCAGGUCAAGUCCGAGUCACAAAGGUCCAAGUUAAGUCAGAGUCCCCAAAGGUCUGAGUCCAAGUCAAGUCAGAGGCCACAAAGGUCUGACUCCAAGACAAGUCCAAGUCCUAAAGGUCAGAACCGAGGAACUGAUCUGCAAACUCCACAAAGGUCUGAGUCCAAGUCAAGUCAGAGGCCACAAAGGUCCGAGUCCAAGUCACGUCCGAGUCACAAAGAGACUCUUCCAGUCUUUGUUGAGUGGCAACUUCACUUAUCGAACAACCUGUUUGAAGAUUCGCAAUGGCAAGGGAUUGCUGGCUUUCCAGGACUGAGCAGCAACUGAAAAGCAGGACUCCACAGCCAUCAAUCACCCGUCCAACACUUGACCUAUCACGGCUGGAUGGAGACUCGCAUUUCUCGCCGUGACAAUGUCGUGAUGCCACAAGAUGACAACACAGCCAGUACGCCCGCACAUGGCGUUGACGUGAGGGUUACGAAAGGUGACGUUUUGUGUUCCGCAAAAGAUUAACUAGCCUUGCCCUGUCAACCUUUAUGUCAACUCCUUAGGAAGUCACACAGAAAGACGAGAGCGUUCUCCACACUUCGACGUUUUAUUUUCCUCCACCAUGAUCGUGAGUGUGUUUCUGCUUUUCUUGUUGAAUGUUUAAAUCUCAUCAAGAUUUUUAUUUUUUUUCAGUCGCACUUCUAUACAAAAUGGCGGCAGCACGCUCGCUUGCUAGAUUUGAAUUUGCAAUUUAUGUGGCCCAAAUUUAAAGCUUCUAACGACCUUGUUUCGAAUGACUGACUUCUGCCACCUGAUGGUUCGGAGGGGAAUUACAUGGCAGUCUCAACAGCAAAGUGAGCUGAGACGUGCAACUCGAAGGGCCAGCGUGUGGCCAUUACUGUCAGGCUUCUACUUGGCAACCCGACACUUUAAUUUGUGGAGAGAGCGACAAGUGCAUUUUUUUUACACGACUGAUCACUGUUAUACAAUUGAAAUCGAGUAGCGUCAAGUUUCCAGGCAAUGAGAAAGCAGAGGUGUGUACAGCGGAGCGUUACGCCGCUUCCUCCGCAAAUCAAUUAGCGGCAAAGGUCACAGCGGGAGCUCAGACAAAAAGUGCUAAUUGGGCAGCGAUGAAAAGAGCCUCCUUGCCGCCCGAAAUAGCCACAAAAUCAUUUCGACGGGCUUCUGUCUGGCCACAAAGGAGAUGGAGGGGAAGGUAGAGUUUCAAAUAGUCUGCUUCUCCUCAAGUGCGGUUCCGCCCAUGUGAUAGCUAGCGAUGCCUGCUGGCUUUCAUUGCGUUACAACGUCCCCUGGGUUUUGCCUCGUUAUCGGACGUGUGAAUGUAAACAUAGGCGGAGGAAAGAUGGAUUAAUGCACCAGUGGUUGUUUUUUUUGUGCCUGAUCCAGAGCAAAGCAAAAAAAAAAAACGUGCUCGGCUGUUGCUGUGUGAGAGGACUUUGUAUGGCUAAAAAAUGAUUUGCGUGCUAAAGUACAUUGCACGAACAGAAAUUAAAGUUUAAGUUUCUUAUUUUUCUUUGGGAGUGAAUAUGAU